CUGGACAUGCGGGACGACAUUGUCUGAGACUCGAGCGAGACGACUGUGAACUCGUAAA
rnacentral:rRNA from 1 species